UACGAAGGGGACUAGCGUUGUUCGGAUUUACUGGGCGUAAAGCGCGCGUAGGCGGAUCGCUAAGUCAGGGGUGAAAUCCCAGGGCUCAACCCUGGAACUGCCUUUGAUACUGACGAUCUGGAGAUCGGGAGAGGUUGGUGGAAUUCCGAGUGUAGAGGUGAAAUUCGUAGAUAUUCGGAGGAACACCAGAAGCGAAGGCGGCCAACUGGCCCGAUACUGACGCUAAGGCGCGAAAGCGUGGGGAGCAAACAGG
rnacentral:rRNA from 1 species